UACGGGGGGUGCGAGCGUUGUCCGGAAUCACUGGGCGUAAAGGGCGCGUAGGUGGUUUGAUGAGGGUGUGGUGAAAGUCCGGGGCUCAACCCCGGAUCUGCCGUGCCGACUGUCAAACUCGAGGGCUGUAGAGGCAGACGGAAUUCCGGGUGUAGCGGUGGAAUGCGUAGAGAUCCGGAGGAAGACCGGUGGCGAAGGCGGUCUGCUGGGCAGUUUCUGACACUGAUGCGCGACAGCGUGGGGAGCAAACAGG
rnacentral:rRNA from 1 species